GAUGAACGCUGGCGGCGUGCCUAAUACAUGCAAGUCGAGCGAAUGGAUUAAGAGCUUGCUCUUAUGAAGUUAGCGGCGGACGGGUGAGUAACACGUGGGUAACCUGCCCAUAAGACUGGGAUAACUCCGGGAAACCGGGGCUAAUACCGGAUAACAUUUUGAACCGCAUGGUUCGAAAUUGAAAGGCGGCUUCGGCUGUCACUUAUGGAUGGACCCGCGUCGCAUUAGCUAGUUGGUGAGGUACCGGCGCACCAAGGCAACGAUGCGUAGCCGGACUGAGAGGGUGGUCGAGCACACUGGACUGAGACACGACCCAGACUCCUACGGGAGGCAGCAGUAGGGAAUCUUCCGCAAUGGACGAAAGCCUGACGGAGCAACGCCGCGUGAGUGAUUAAGGCCUUCGGGUUGUAAAGCUCUGUUGUAAGGGAAGAAAAAUCAGUAGAGGAAAUGAUACUGAUCUGACGGUACCUUACCAGAAAGCCACGGCUAACUACGUGCCAGCCGCCGCUGUAA
rnacentral:rRNA from 1 species